rnacentral:misc_RNA from 1 species
UCUUCUAGUUGCAACGGUGUUGGUUCAAGUUCAGGAUACAUACUUAAAAAUUUCGAAUCGAAGCUCUGGAUUCCAAGAUGAAGCAAAUAUGGAUAAUGAAGGUUGACCUUUCCUGACUUGUUGAAAGGGAUCAAUCCUCUUGAAAAAUAAAUAGCAUAACCAUGAUUAUCCACCACGCACUUCACACGAUUGGGAUCGAAUGCAUCUUCAGGUUUUAAGGAUGUCACUGCAGUGCUGAACACUGCAUCUGGGGCAGCCUGCAGAGCUUUAACGAUGCCGUCAAUGAUCUCCGGUUCAAUAAGGGGCUCAUCCCCUUGAAUAUUUACAACAAUGUCAUAUUUCUUUUCAAGCUUCUGAAGUGCUUCAUUACAACGCUCAGUCCCAUUCCGGCAAGACUCUGAUGUCAUUACAACAUCAGCACCAAAUCCUCUACAGCAUUGUGCAAUCUUAGCAUCAUCCGUCGCUACAACAACACAAUCCAAUGAAGUAGCCAUUUUUGCCCUUUCCCAUGUUCUCUGG